AUAUUAAUAAGCGGAGGAAAAGAUUCCCUGAGUAAUGGCGAAUGUAAAGGGAAAAGCUCAAGAUUGAAUCGGAUGCUCCUAACGAACAUCUCGAGUUGUAAUCUUAAGAAUGUUUGUUCAACCACGUGGACCCGGGCAUAAACCUUUGGAAUAAAGGUGUUCAUAGAGGGUGAGAAUCCUGUCCUAG
rnacentral:rRNA from 1 species